rnacentral:rRNA from 1 species
GUUGGGUAGGGGAGCGUUCUGUAAGCCUGUGAAGGUGGCCUGUGAGGGUUGCUGGAGGUAUCAGAAGUGCGAAUGCUGACAUAAGUAACGAUAAAGCGGGUGAAAAGCCCGCUCGCCGGAAGACCAAGGGUUCCUGUCCAACGUUAAUCGGGGCAGGGUGAGUCGACCCCUAAGGCGAGGCCGAAAGGCGUAGUCGAUGGGAAACGGGUUAAUAUUCCCGUACUUGGUGUUACUGCGAAGGGGGGACGGAGAAGGCUAUGUUGGCCGGGCGACGGUUGUCCCGGUUUAAGCGUGUAGGUGUGUGUUCCAGGUAAAUCCGGUUCACUUUAACACUGAGGCGUGAUGACGAGGCACUACGGUGCUGAAGUAACAAAUGCCCUGCUUCCAGGAAAAGCCUCUAAGCAUCAGGUAACAUCAAAUCGUACCCCAAACCGACACAGGUGGUCAGGUAGAGAAUACCAAGGCGCUUGAGAGAACUCGGGUGAAGGAACUAGGCAAAAUGGUGCCGUAACUUCGGGAGAAGGCACGCUGACACGUAGGUGAAGUGAUUUACUCACGGAGCUGAAGUCAGUCGAAGAUACCAGCUGGCUGCAACUGUUUAUUAAAAACACAGCACUGUGCAAACACGAAAGUGGACGUAUACGGUGUGACGCCUGCCCGGUGCCGGAAGGUUAAUUGAUGGGGUCAGCGCAAGCGAAGCUCCUGAUCGAAGCCCCGGUAAACGGCGGCCGUAACUAUAACGGUCCUAAGGUAGCGAAAUUCCUUGUCGGGUAAGUUCCGACCUGCACGAAUGGCGUAAUGAUGGCCAGGCUGUCUCCACCCGAGACUCAGUGAAAUUGAACUCGCUGUGAAGAUGCAGUGUACCCGCGGCAAGACGGAAAGACCCCGUGAACCUUUACUAUAGCUUGACACUGAACAUUGAGCCUUGAUGUGUAGGAUAGGUGGGAGGCUUUGAAGCGUGGACGCCAGUCUGCGUGGAGCCGACCUUGAAAUACCACCCUUUAAUGUUUGAUGUUCUAACGUGGACCCGUUACCCGGGUUGCGGACAGUGUCUGGUGGGUAGUUUGACUGGGGCGGUCUCCUCCUAAAGAGUAACGGAGGAGCACGAAGGUUGGCUAAUCCUGGUCGGACAUCAGGAGGUUAGUGCAAUGGCAUAAGCCAGCUUGACUGCGAGCGUGACGGCGCGAGCAGGUGCGAAAGCAGGUCAUAGUGAUCCGGUGGUUCUGAAUGGAAGGGCCAUCGCUCAACGGAUAAAAGGUACUCCGGGGAUAACAGGCUGAUACCGCCCAAGAGUUCAUAUCGACGGCGGUGUUUGGCACCUCGAUGUCGGCUCAUCACAUCCUGGGGCUGAAGUAGGUCCCAAGGGUAUGGCUGUUCGCCAUUUAAAGUGGUACGCGAGCUGGGUUUAGAACGUCGUGAGACAGUUCGGUCCCUAUCUGCCGUGGGCGCUGGAGAACUGAGGGGGGCUGCUCCUAGUACGAGAGGACCGGAGUGGACGCAUCACUGGUGUUCGGGUUGUCAUGCCAAUGGCACUGCCCGGUAGCUAAAUGCGGAAGAGAUAAGUGCUGAAAGCAUCUAAGCACGAAACUUGCCCCGAGAUGAGUUCUCCCUGAGACUUAAAGUCUCCUGAAGGAACGUUGAAGACGACGACGUUGAUAGGCCGGGUGUGUAAGCGCAGCGAUGCGUUGAGCUAACCGGUACUAAUGAACCGUGAGGCUUAACCCUACAACGCCGAAG